rnacentral:rRNA from 1 species
UACGGGGGGAGCAAGCGUUGUUCGGAUUUACUGGGCGUAAAGGGCGCGUAGGCGGCCACCGCAAGUCGACUGUGAAAUCUCCGGGCUUAACUCGGAAAGGUCAGCCGAUACUGCGGGGCUAGAGUGCAGAAGGGGCAACUGGAAUUCUCGGUGUAGCGGUGAAAUGCGUAGAUAUCGAGAGGAACACCUGCGGCGAAGGCGGGUUGCUGGGCUGACACUGACGCUGAGACGCGAAAGCGUGGGGAGCAAACAGG